rnacentral:rRNA from 1 species
UGCAGUCGAGCGAACAGACGAGGAGCUUGCUCCUCUGACGUUAGCGGCGGACGGGUGAGUAACACGUGGAUAACCUACCUAUAAGACUGGGAUAACUUCGGGAAACCGGAGCUAAUACCGGAUAAUAUAUUGAACCGCAUGGUUCAAUAGUGAAAGACGGUUUUGCUGUCACUUAUAGAUGGAUCCGCGCCGCAUUAGCUAGUUGGUAAGGUAACGGCUUACCAAGGCAACGAUGCGUAGCCGACCUGAGAGGGUGAUCGGCCACACUGGAACUGAGACACGGUCCAGACUCCUACGGGAGGCAGCAGUAGGGAAUCUUCCGCAAUGGGCGAAAGCCUGACGGAGCAACGCCGCGUGAGUGAUGAAGGUCUUCGGAUCGUAAAACUCUGUUAUUAGGGAAGAACAAAUGUGUAAGUAACUAUGCACGUCUUGACGGUACCUAAUCAGAAAGCCACGGCUAACUACGUGCCAGCAGCCGCGGUAAUACGUAGGUGGCAAGCGUUAUCCGGAAUUAUUGGGCGUAAAGCGCGCGUAGGCGGUUUUUUAAGUCUGAUGUGAAAGCCCACGGCUCAACCGUGGAGGGUCAUUGGAAACUGGAAAACUUGAGUGCAGAAGAGGAAAGUGGAAUUCCAUGUGUAGCGGUGAAAUGCGCAGAGAUAUGGAGGAACACCNAGUGGCGAAGGCGACUUUCUGGUCUGUAACUGACGCUGAUGUGCGAAAGCGUGGGGAUCAAACAGGAUUAGAUACCCUGGUAGUCCACGCCGUAAACGAUGAGUGCUAAGUGUUAGGGGGUUUCCGCCCCUUAGUGCUGCAGCUAACGCAUUAAGCACUCCGCCUGGGGAGUACGACCGCAAGGUUGAAACUCAAAGGAAUUGACGGGGACCCGCACAAGCGGUGGAGCAUGUGGUUUAAUUCGAAGCAACGCGAAGAACCUUACCAAAUCUUGACAUCCUCUGACCCCUCUAGAGAUAGAGUUUUCCCCUUCGGGGGACAGAGUGACAGGUGGUGCAUGGUUGUCGUCAGCUCGUGUCGUGAGAUGUUGGGUUAAGUCCCGCAACGAGCGCAACCCUUAAGCUUAGUUGCCAUCAUUAAGUUGGGCACUCUAAGUUGACUGCCGGUGACAAACCGGAGGAAGGUGGGGAUGACGUCAAAUCAUCAUGCCCCUUAUGAUUUGGGCUACACACGUGCUACNAUGGACAAUACAAAGGGCAGCGAAACCGCGAGGUCAAGCAAAUCCCAUAAAGUUGUUCUCAGUUCGGAUUGUAGUCUGCAACNNCGACUAUAUGAAG